CUCCUGCCCCGCCCGCUGCCAACGGCGAGGGGAAGGGGGGGGGUGAGGGGCGGGGCCGUGGCUGGGUGAGUGACGGCGGUGGGCGCCCAAUGAGAGGAGAGGGUCGUGGAGUCCCCGCCCUCCGCGCUGGGAGGGGUGGGGAAGGGGAGCGGGAUUGACGGUAAGAUGCUCCAAUCAGGAGGAAGGAAACGGGGAUGGGCGGGGCUUCCCGCUCCAACGUCGAGGGGCGGUUGCGGAGCGCGGCCGUUGGGCGGGAGGCGCGGCGGCCGUUAGGUUGUGGUGGUGCUUCUGAGGGGGCCCCGGCCCCGGCCCCGCGGGCGGGGGGGCUCUGUGCCCGGUCCGGCCCGGGGCGGUCCCCGGGGCUUUGGCAGCCUCCGGAGCUGGGCCGUGAGGGGGUGCGGGGCUCGGGAGCCCCCCGGCUGCUCAGAUAGCGCGGGGGAAGGAGGAGGGUGGGGGGCUGUCCUCAGCCGCCCCUCCCGCGUGGUACCGGGCGGUGUUCCUUACGGGGGAGCUGCACACGCCGGGAGCUCCGGCAGCACCUGGCUGCGUUUUGGGAUGCCUCUGGCUUUAGUUUUGCACCCUCCUAGCAUCGCAACGUUUUGGGGCGUCCUUAUGUCACCGGCUGGAUUUGGCUGCCCUGAAUCUGGGUUACCGUGGCGUUUACUCUCUCACACCGAGUCUCAAUCUCGUUCUGCAGGCUGCAAAGCACAAACUGAAGUAAACACGUGAUUAUCUUUCAAGGGGUGAAUUUUUAUGGAGUUUCUAAUUCCUCUGUUGACUUAGGAUGAAAAUACUGAGAAUCGUGUAGGCUGGGGGUAGCAAGUGUUGGUGUCUGAUCCAGAGAGCGCCGGUAAAAUAGAUAAAAAGGGUGGGGGAAAGAAAUAUGAGAUUAUAAUCUUCCUAACCAAAAGAUUAAAUGCUAUGUUUGAGUAAAGUUUUCAUCAGGUGUCUCAGUUACAAAUGAGUUUCAAAAAGUAAACAUGCUGUAUGGUUUAUAUGGUUCAAGCUGAAGUUAGGCUGUAAGAAGCGUGCAUUGUGAUCGCUGCAGCACAUGAAAAACAUGAUGUUUGUGCAUGCGGCACUGGGCUGCCUUAAAGUGACUUUUGCCCAGGCCCAUUUCCAUAUGAAAACAGCCCAGCUUUUGAACUGCCAGCAUGUGGGAUGCCUUGGCUUAUGGUCAUACAGGUACAGGGAGGCUUUAUGCACAUCAGCAUGUUUCUUCCAGUGCCUAGCUUUAGGUGCCAAUUCAGCAAGUAAGCAUUUUUAGCGUUUUAAAGGCUAAAAUCUCUAGCAUUUUAAUGGCUAAAAUCUAAAAUUUUGGUAGGACAUAAAUACUGUAAGGUAAUUGCACUUCAUGUGCUCUCAUGAGCCGAAGUUUAAACUUAGUGUGCAGAAUCCAUAAAUCAAAAGCCAUAUUUGGAUAGUAGCUUUAUAUGAGCAUAAAAAUGGUUGUUUUGUAAACAGAGAUAACUGUAAUAUACUGUUAUCUUUCUUGUAUGUGUGCAGACAUUUUAAUAUAUAUAUAUAAUUUCAUAAAAUCAAUUUUGAAGACCAAAUGGCAUACUUUAGACACUUGCCCUUUAAACUGCUGACUUGUAUCCAUUGCAGUAAAAGAAAUGCUUGCAUUCCUUACCUGGUUAAUUCCCAUUUCACUACACGGCCCAUAGGUCCUACUCAGAGAGCACUAAGGCCCAGACCUCGUGUCAGUGUGUUCCUCUGUUCCUGCCUGCCCUGCAACAGCUGUCAUUUUCUUCUGCACCCAUUUUUAGAAAGUGACAAGGUCCAGUGUGUCCUGUAUACUGUUUAUUGGCAACUCAACCCUUGCUGCCUGUCCCCCGUGUGAAAGUGCCUACCUUCAAGUUUCAUCAAUUAAACAUUUUGAAAAUAGUUAAUGAAAAGCAUUAUGUAGGUUCUGAGUAACAUAAAAAUAUUUUCUGAGAUGUAAAAUAUUUUCUCCGAGGUUACUAGGCUAUGGUAUGGUUGCCAUGCUGCUUAAAACAAUGUUGUAAAAACCUGUUGGCAGUUGAAAUUUGUGACGCAAAGCCCUAAGUAAAUAAUAGGUAUAGCCUUGCAAUGAUGGAAUUUUCAUAUCAGUUGCACUGGAAAAUAUUUUCAGACCGUAUCUUCAUGGACUGCUCAUAAAAGAAGUACUGGUGAAAUCUGUCAGCGGAGCAAAAAAUAAGCUGCUUUAUUAUCGUGAAUAAACGAAAAGUAUUUUUAGCUAUUGAGUUUUCUGUUGUCUUUUUAAUAUAACUCUUCUGGUUUGGAAAAGAAUGAGCAGCAGCUCUGUAAACCAGCUAGAGUUUCCCAAAUCGAAAAGCUAAUGGUUGAACUGGUGUUUGCUUGAGGACGGUGGAAUUGCGUGGACGUGGGAGGCCGUUUGAAGGUAAAGGUGUGCAGACCAGGGUGUCUGGGGGAAAACUGAAAGCGAGAGCUGCGGCUGGCAGUCUGAAAUAGCUGCAUUCGGGAAGGCUGAAGUUUGCCUUCCCCGCUUCUGCACAUGCUGCUGCUUCCUACACAGCUGCCUGAGCUGCUUCUGAGUCAGCUUCUGAACCCCAUGGUUUCUACAGAGUAUUUAAAGGCACACAGCGAUGAUGCCAGGUUAUAAGCUGCCGGCUCCAAAUCUAAUUCAUAAAAGUCUGUGGUGUCCACAGAGAAUGUUGUGAAUAGUAAUUUUCUGCCAGGCUGUUCCCACUCUUCAAUCAGAGCCUUCAAUGUGCACUGAAGCACUGAUUCUGCAAAACCUUAUGUGCGUAUCUAAGUUUACUCGGAAGAAAACUCAUUAUCAUUCAUGAUCGUUAUUCAAAACGGAGAAGCAGCAUUCUAGAACAGAUUUAACUAAAAGUCACAUUUGCAGUUCUUUUCAUUCAGUCACAGAGAUUUAUUCCCUGUACCUUCCUAGCAUUUUUUUUUAAUCCAGGAGUGGAAAGGUGAAUAGGACCAUUAUGUAUCAUUAAGUUUCAGAUCCCUGUCAAACUUGGAAGUGUGGGGCUUCGAGUACUGGGUUGCUGCUGAGAUUUUGCUAUGGGGAUUUGUCUGGUUGCCAGCAGGCAAGGAGUUAACCACAGUUUUGCUUUCCCAUUCUUCUGUACAGGUGCUGAGAGGCCAAGCUACCAGAAACGCAGUUGUCAGAGACAGUGGGAGGAAUAUUUUAGUAAAGAGGAUGUCAUAAGUACGUGAACCCUCAACCAGGAAGUUCUCAGCAGGCUGACAAGAAUUACUGCAUGCUAAGAAUCAGCUGCUCUUGGAAACUUAAUGAAUGUGGCAGCCAGAAAAGUACAAAACAUGGCCAAGAGAUGUGAACCAGAUAUGUUGGCUAUAACAAAGAGAAAUGAAGAGAAGGUGAGAAGGUGCCCUGGAUUCAAUUCAAAGAUGGCUUCAGAAGUUACAACCUGAGAAGGUGGAGAGGGAUGGCACUCUCUAGGCCAGUCUUACUGCCAAAGCCAUCACCUUACCUAACUGUGUUUCUUCAAAAUCCCAUCUUCAUCAUGGACAACACCCAGAUAGUUUACCGGUAAAGUAAACAAAGAGCACAUCUUUAAUAAUCUUCUGGCUCAAACCGCACUACAGCACAGAAGAGCUGUGCUGUACGAGCUGCCUGCGCGCAGCCCCACCAGUCCUUAGCCCGUGAGAAGAACGCCACGAAGCAGCAGCACACCUUGUCAGCCUGUUGAUAGCUUAGCACAGACAGUGAUUCAAGACAUUUGGAAAAAUGUUGCACGUUGCUAGUCAAACUAAUAGAAAUUCAUACUGACGGUUCUUCAAAUGAAACAAAACUGCAUUCUUGCCCUUUCUCUGGAAAAGAUACUUUACAGGGAAUAAAACCUUUUUUGAAGGUUUUCCAUUCACUCUCACCACUUAUUACUUCAGCCUUCUCAUUUCUGGUGUCCUUUUUCAAGCACCGGAGUUUGCCAGCAGGUUAUUGCACACUUUAGGAGACUAUAGUCUGCCUUGAGUCAGAAUUGUUACUGUAAAAUUAACUGCUGUCAUUGACACCUACAGCCUCCUUCGAGAUCAGUUGUACAAGCGCUGUUUCCUUUUCCGUUGUGAGUAACAUAUGUUUUCAGUUCUCAUUUGUAUUACUAAACAAAGGGUUUCAGAUUCUAACUCAAACCAUCUUUCAAAAUUAAAUUAGCUAAAGCCUUAAUUAGCCAGCACUGAUCAGAACAGAUUGCAGUGACUGCACAUGCUACUCCAGUCUAUCUCUUCAUUAAAAAGCUGCCAGCUUUUAAGGGAAAAAAAAGUAAUCAGAGACUAUUUUCCAUCUUAGUAGACCUCGGAAUUGUCUGAGGGGAAGCAGAAUGAUUGUAGUAAUAACCAAGAACCUCUGUAAUCCCUUCCUAGAUUCUUUCUCACUGAUUAACUGUUUUGAAAGUAAGGCAGACCUUAAAGGAAAAAUAAGCUAAACCAUUUGGUAAUGUAUGCCCCCACACAGGGGUAUGUCAGAAAUCUCUUCCACUUUUUUCCUUUGUGGAAAAACUGGUAGCCUGAUUCUUCUCUACUCUGUUUUUUGGAGACCAUAAAACCACGAAAGUCAUCAAAGUUACAUUGACGUAGAAUGUGCUAACGUCAUUAAGGACCAAUUCUUCAAAUGAGCCCAAAGGCCAGAUAUUAUAAUAAAAAAUGUAAAUAUGCAGGAGUGCCAUUUUCUGAAAUCAAAAUUUCUUUUAACUAAUACAUUUCCUUUAAAAUGGUCACUAAAAUUGGUGUCUGGAACGUAAAGCCAUCCAUUUUCUUACACAACAGGUAGGCAGCAGAACUACAAACAGAUCUGGAAGUCUCAAUGCUCUUCUGAGAGGACUGGAUUGAAAAGCAACUCAUGAUCCUGAUCUCUCUGUCCCAGUUAAAAACAUUAAAUGUAUACAGAGAUAGAACUGGACUAAGACUAUGUGUAUAUAUAUAUGGUCUUAAAUAUACAUACAUAUAUCUUAAGAUCUUUUGAAAUAGGUAUACUUCAGACCAGGACACCUCCAUCACAUUGAGUACAUUGGCCUGGGUUAGACGUCCUGCUACCAGUGUCCAUCUCCAUAGCCUUUGCUUGUCUGAUUGCCGCUAGUGUCCUACCACUGUAUUAUGUUACAUGACAAAUUUGUAUUUAAUUUUAUACUGUAUGUUCUAUUCUGGUAUUUCUGUUACGAUUAAAUUGAGUUCAAGACAGUCCCUUGGCUGAACAGAAUGAAAGUGUCUGGAAUGCUCCUUUGUACCACACCAUUUCAGUUGCUCUUCGACAGAGUAUCUAUCUGCCUAAUAAUUGCAGAGUUUGGUGUCUGCUCUCCCAGAUCCUUGCAAUCCUCAACACCAAAAAUCUCUGACAAAGACAGAUGCAUUUGCUGCAUCAUUCUGCAGGGUACCAAAAUGGUCCAUACGGAUACCCUCCGUGAGCAGGAUAUCAAAGUAAAGCGCUGGUUCUCAGCCUUGGCACCAGCUGAUGCCACCCCCUCGCUUCUGUGCCCUGCAGGACUGCACACACUGCCUCCUUGCUCCCCCACUCACCCUCAGCAUCUUUGUGCCCUGCUUUUUCUUGUCUGUGGGGCUGCUCCUACUGCUUCUCCUCCCUUUCUUACCCACACAGUGGCUUGUGUUACCACCACUUCCCCUGGCUGCAGCCAGGAUGACUUCUGGCCCCAGAUGGAAAAUAUAUUUGUAUGAGUCUGCCCUGAACCAUCUCUGCAGAGCUGGCAUGAGUCCUGCCUCUCCCAUCUCUCUUGUAUUACAGGCGUUCAUUAGUUGGGAACCUGUGCAACAAAUUCUAACACCCUGCUGGGAUUUACUCUCCUUGUCCUAAAAUAAUAGCAAUUAAAAAAAAAAAAAAAAAAAAGCUAUUAUCUUUUCGAUAGAAUGCAUCAUGUAUUAACAGGAUGCAUGUAUGCACUGACUUCUCACUACCCCAGUGCUUGUGGAAACUUCUUUUGUUCUGGGCAGCCACUACUAGUGGUACAUCUUCAAGCCUUAAGUACUGCACAGAAAAUAAUGAGGCAGCUUAGAAAUUCAUGAAAUGGGAGAGCAUUACAUAGCUGAUAAAUUAAGGCAAUCAAGGAAAAUCAUAAUUGAGUUUGGGCUUGGAUUACUUUGUAGAAUUAAGACAUUUCAAAUGUGUUUCUCACAAAAUAACUGCAAUGCACCUGAGAUGGUACUUGAUAAAGGAUGUGAAAAAUAAGGCAGAAAAGUAUUAGGUGUUCUUUCAACAUAAGCCUUGAUAAAACAGGAUCUCCACGGAUCCCAAAAUACUUGGUACUGUUACUGAUUUCAACAGUGUGACUUCCAAAAAUAGGCUUUGUUACACAGACCUUCUUGCUUGUCUCUAGCCUAAGAAUGGUUACUCUGAUUUUUGGAAUAUUUUUUUGCCUGUUAAGAAGUUUAAGUGAGAGGAGAGUGUUUGUAAGUGCUGUUGCCGUGUCCUGAGUUUCUUGCAUAGUAUUUUUUUAUUCUGUCCAUGUCAACAGCUGUACUGGGCCAUGUGUCAGGUGUCAUGCUGUGAAAUCUAUGCCUGUUUUUUUUCCAUUGUGCAAACUGAA